rnacentral:tRNA from 1 species
GCCUCCGUGGUGUAGUGGUUAGCACGGUCGCCUCCUACGCGACAGGCUCGGGUUCGAUCCCCGACAGAGGCA